GAUUGAUGAAAGUUGAGAAAACAAGAGUUAAAAGAGGUCAAAGGAAGGAAAUAGGCAAAAGCUAGCGAAAUUAGAUGAAAUGACCAAAAUGUAUGAGAUCCAAAGUUCGAGGAUUAAAAUGCAAUUAAUCAAAAGUCAUGUCGAAACUUGAAAUGAAGAUCUGAGAGUUCUAGAAGCCAAUUGGAUGAAGGAAGGAGUCAAAGGGAUCAAAUUUAGUCAAGAUAUGAUCAUAAAUCAUUCUCCAACCAAAAAGUUUUGCGCCGGAGUUUUGGUCUCACAUUUAGACUCAUUAUCUACAUAGAAAACGAACGAAUUGAGAAUGAUUCUUGAAGCAAAAUUGUAGUCCUUUGAAUUAUCUUUUCAACGCAUCUUGAAUCACUUCAAUCGGAUAUCGAACGAGAAAGUUAUGCUGAAAAUACUAAAAGAUGCGUAGAAUACCGUUUCGGGCGUACCGGGCGCCGCGGCGCCCAUCUUGCUGAAACAAGCAGAAAGUCAGCACCCAGGCGCUGCAUUCCGAAACAAAAGGAAAUUCUGAUUUUAUAAUAUUUUCUCGGCCCAAUUAGUAACCUGUUGUUCCCUAAAUUCCAAGACACUAUAAAUACACAAUUGAAGACCUAAAUUAGGGGGGAGCCGCACACUAAAAAUCUGUGGAAUCAAGCCACGCGUUCUUGACAUAUUGGACAGAAGACAACAAGAAGGGAGAUUGAAAAGAGAAAUUCAAGAAGAUUAACACCAAGCAAUUGAAGAUUAGAAGCAUUCAUUGGAAGGGGAAGGAGAUCUUGGUGCAAGAAUUCUACUUUUUCUUCUACAUCUUUAUUACAAAUCCGGUGAUGUAUUCUAAGACAAUUUCCUAUUUUUCUUCCAUUAUUAUGAGUAGUUAAAUUUGAUUUUAGGGCGAACAAUGUAAUCUUUUGGAAUCCUUUAUUUCAUGCAAUUGAGAUUCUAGUGCUUUUAUAUUUUA
rnacentral:lncRNA from 1 species